GGAUUAGAUACCCUGGUAGUCCACGCCGUAAACGUUGGGCACUAGGUGUGGGGGGCCUUUUCCGGGUUUUCCGCGCCGUAGCUAACGCAUUAAGUGCCCCGCCUGGGGAGUACGGCCGCAAGGCUAAAACUCAAAGGAAUUGACGGGGGCCCGCACAAGCGGCGGAGCAUGCGGAUUAAUUCGAUGCAACGCGAAGAACCUUACCAAGGCUUGACAUGUGCCGGUUUGCUUCGGAGACGGGGUUUCCUCCUUUGUGGGGGCUGGUUCACAGGUGGUGCAUGGUUGUCGUCAGCUCGUGCUG
rnacentral:rRNA from 1 species